CGAGAAUACUAUACAAUCAACAAACAUACACAUACAUAAACACACCAUACAAGGAAAAGUAUAUGUAUGUCAUGAUGCAAUGCAAAACAUGUGACAUGAGUUUGGUUUAUUUUAUCUGGGUGAUGUACUGACCCAAGGCAUUGAUAAUUAAGCACGUGCAAUUAGGUUUUUUAAAUAAAUUGCAAUGGCUAGGGUUUAAACCCUAAAAUGAGGUUUUAUUGGCAUCAGCCAAAUAGAUUAAUUCAAAAUAUUUAUUUCUCUGUCCCAUUGGACAGAGGACAAUAAAACAAAAUUUUGGGCACUGGUUUCAUUCAAAAAGGACUUCUAGAUAAUUAGUUAUGAUUUAAAUGGCAUAAAACCCUAAUCUGUAAUUUGAAUGUGAUUCAAAUAUUCAAAUUUGAAAUUGGACAGCGCCGAAAGAUUCUAAAUUUCCUAAGGAUUCCAAAAAGGUGUGGAUCACUAAAUUUGGCCAUACAGAUUUAAAGUUAUGAUCAUUUGAAGUUACAGGGGUCUAUCUGCAAAAGUGCACUUUGUAUUUCGGCCGAAAAAGAAAAAAAAGAAAAGCUCUGCCACGUGGCGCGUUGUGGUUGGUCGGGGGCUAGGGUUAGGGUUUUUUUUUUUUUU
rnacentral:lncRNA from 1 species